rfam:Ailuropoda melanoleuca scaffold532_95, whole genome shotgun sequence.
CCAACAGCCCCCUUUUUUUUUCAGAGGGUUGCGACCCCACAUGGGGAUGAGGCCUGGCCUUGUGGAAACUGAACUCAGCUUCACGGGGCUGACAGCUCUGGUCCAGGGUGGUAUGUAAU